UUGAAUUAGUUAGCCCCAUAUGGUUCCUAUUAAGUAUCUUAGAGCAUCUCCAACGGGAGAAAAAUGGAGCUCUCAUGACAGUCUCUCUAAAUUAUUGUGGAAAAAAAUAAAUCAUAAAGGUUUAAUACUGAGAGAAUCGUUUCUCUUAAGAGAGAUUUUGGAGCUGAAGAGAGACGCAUACGUGUCGUUGUUUUUCAGUAUUUCUUUUUUUUUUCCGUUUUUUUUCUCUACUAUCAUCUUUUCACUGGGACUUUGAGGAUCAUUGGACUUACCUGAAACGAGCUGGCCGACGUUGAUUUCGGUAGGCUUAUCGGCUCUGAGAUUCAUGGAUUCCAUACUUUGCAAGGUUUGUUCUUCUAAUCUUAUCGUUCGUCUUGAUUCAUAGAACUGUUUUUGUUUGUUCUUAAAUUCGAUUGUCUCUCGGUUUUCAUUGUCCUAUUGUUUUUCUUUUAUUUUGUCUGUCUGGGUUUUGGACUUUUACUCUCGAUUGCUCUUUGAUUCUCGUAGCUAUUGAACUAGAAUUUGCAAAAGGUUGUGGAAUUUGAGGUUCUAAUUGUGAUUUUAAUGUGGUGAUUUGGAAAAGAAUUUAGGGACAUUUUAGGUUGAUUAAGGGAUCUUGGCUUUGAUUUGAGAUACCCAUCUAACGUGAAGAAGCUAGUGAAGUAUAUUUCAACCCCACCUGUGAGAGAGCUUCAGGGGAUAAUCCAUUUGGGUGGGUAUUUUUCUGGCUGUACCACUUGCAGUUUCUCAAAAGUGAGUGAAGGAACUCAUUUUGGUUGAUUAUACUCUGAGUGAAGGAACUCAUUUUCGUUGGUUCUGCUCUUCUAAGUGAAGAGGGCUUACAAGCUUGGAAAGGUGAUGGCCAUGUGUUUAGAUUGUUGGUGCAUCUAUGUACUUUCCAUAGAUCUUCCUUUGCAAUCAUUUAGUGGUGAACCUGAUAUGUUGUUAUUUCCUGCAGCAAGUUUCCAACAGAGUAAUAUCAUGUCUGACCGGAACCAUACAACGGAACAUUCCACAUAUCGUUUUACAUUUCUAUUGACCUUGACCUUUAUGUUUUAAUUUGUCAAGAAGUCUACUGCAUUUCUAUUCUCUCCUAUCUCAUUCCUCUUUAUUUACUUGCUUUCACAUGGUAAGGAAUUGUGAAUAUAUGGUCUCAGCCUCUCAUGUUAGACAUUUCUUCUAUGAUUCUCAUUUUUUCUAUUGUGAAUAAUUUUUUUUCCAGACAACUCUUUUAAAAGAGACUUACCA